rnacentral:rRNA from 1 species
GACGAACGCUGGCGGCGUGCUUAACACAUGCAAGUCGAACGGAAAGGCCCUGCUUUUGUGGGGUGCUCGAGUGGCGAACGGGUGAGUAACACGUGAGUAACCUGCCCUUGACUUUGGGAUAACUUCAGGAAACUGGGGCUAAUACCGGAUAGGGGCUCCUGCUGCAUGGUGGGGGUUGGAAAGUUUCGGCGGUUGGGGAUGGACUCGCGGCUUAUCAGCUUGUUGGUGGGGUAGUGGCUUACCAAGGCUUUGACGGGUAGCCGGCCUGAGAGGGUGACCGGCCACAUUGGGACUGAGAUACGGCCCAGACUCCUACGGGAGGCAGCAGUGGGGAAUAUUGCACAAUGGGCGGAAGCCUGAUGCAGCAACGCCGCGUGCGGGACGACGGCCUUCGGGUUGUAAACCGCUUUCGCCUGUGACGAAGCGUGAGUGACGGUAAUGGGUAAAGAAGCACCGGCUAACUACGUG